UCCGUUACGUUGGUGACGUCACCACGAGCGCGAGAAGUCGAAGGUAGGAGCAGAAAGCGGUGUUAGUGUUAGUUCUGGCCCGUUUGGACCCAAACUAAAGUGUAUCAGUAUGAAGCAGGCGGUGACGGCGCACUGAUUCACUCUCGGAGCUCGGUUCACUAAUGACCGAAUCACCGAGGAACCGACCAAAGAUAACUCACACCCGCACGGAGAAGAAGAACAAGAGGAGGAGAAGAUGAACUGGAGUGGGGCAAAGAGAACUGCAUUCAGAUCAAACGGAUACAAGAGAGGUGGCCGAGUUGUUUGAGGAUCUAAAGAAUUGAGUGUCACAAUUCAACAUGCACAUCAGCGAAACUUUUCCCUCUGACUACACCAGCACGCACGCACAGAAAUUCAUAGUGCAGGUGGCGAUUGCAGGCACAUUUUAUCCGAACUGCUUCCUCCAAGGAACUCUAUGGAAACGACCCCAGGACCACCAUAGUGGUGUGUAAUCUCCCUCCAUUUGCAUUCCUCUACUAUAAACAGCUCCAGUCUCUCUUCAGACACUGUGGUUAAAUCAAAUCCAUCUCCUUUGACAGCUCCAGGGCCUAUGUAGAGUUCUACCGCUCGUCAAUGAGAGGUUCUGGCGUUCUCCCAGAGGUCUCUCUGUCUCUCCUUCUCACGCAGAAGAGACUUCCUCUCCAUCUCAACGUUUAACCCGCUGGAGAGGUGGAGACUUGGGCAGGGGGGUAGUGUAUCUCACACCUCAGAUAUACACGGUACACACACACUCUGCAGCGAGCAUCAUCAGAUGAGUCAUGGUUACAUUUUAAGUGAGAGUAGUCAUGUGACCACAUCCCCUAGACAGUGUGAUGUUUAGAUGAUGUUCUGUACAUUAGUGCUGUUCUGUUACAGGUCUCUCUCUCUGUGUCUCUCUCACUCACUGUGUGUGUGUGUCUCUCUCAGGGUGAAUGUGGAUUUUCAGAAUCAGUCAGUGAGCCCUGUCGGGGUUCUGAGCAGCUCCAUUGAGUUGGAGAAUCUUCCGUCUAACCCUGUCUUUAUCGUCAAUAUCACCGAGGUGUCUGUUCUGCCUCUUUCACUUUCAGUGCACAAAUAAAAAAGAAGCAGUGGCUCCUGUGUGUGUGUGUGUGUGUGUGUGUGUGUGUGUGUGUGUGUGUGUGUGUGUGUGUGUGUGUGUGUGUGUGUGCACUAACAGGAGGUCCAGGUGCAGCCUUUGGAUAUUGAUGAAGAUUUACUGCCCCUGCAAGACCUUCCUCAACUGCGUAGUCUGGAGCAAAGGAUGCAACAGAGCCCAGAUUACAAGCAAAAUCUGGUAAACUGGUUGGCGCUUAUUGACGGGGUGUAUGUGCGUGACUGCACCUGGCGCAUAUUGAAGAGGGUGAUUGCUAACUCCCUGGCAAAGAAUCUCAAUUGGAGGGGAGUCAAUGGAAAGACUUCACUGUCCGCUCUCCAACUCGGAGAGGUCGUGAUUGCGUGUCGGCCUUGGAGAUGAGAAUCACGCCAACUCGGAACGAUCCCCUCUCUUUGUGCAGUUCAUCGACUGUGUGUGGCAGAUGAUGAGACAGGUCAGCUACUGAUGCUUUACACCACAACACUGUUGAAUUCUCCAAUCUGAUUGGUCAGAAGGCGUUGGAGACAUUUCUGGAACAGCAAGAUUCUGAUUCCAGCUGCAAGGGAAAUUACAGCUUUAUAGUGAUGUGCUCGUUCUCGUUCCUAUAGUAACAGCUCAUUGACAGGGUCUAGUAUGGCGUACGCAAUACAUAUUCUAAGCUUAAUUGUAAACAUAUUAUAAACAUGUCACUUAAAGAAAAAGACGUAUGAUCAUUGUGAUCUAGUUAAGAUUUAUAAGUUAUCUAUUUAUGGAAGUUUUAUGGAAGUAGUCUCCAGUGUCACGGCAGAGAGGACAUUGCACUUUCCAGUUUCUCAGUAACAUUGCAAGUCUUAUUCAUUUCAAGAGUUAGGGGGAAAAAAGAGAGGCUUGUGAGGGAACUAUUGUUUUAUUUUAAUGUUAUAAAGUAAGAGAUCAUAAUGAGAACUAACUCUCUUUUCCAGGACAUUCCAAAUUGUUCUUUGGCUAUGCCCCAUGUUUGUGCAAUGGUUCAGACCGGUUUUUCCUCUUUUCGCAGCUUCAAAAUGGCUUGCUUUUCUCCCAUAGACAGCUCUCUGGUCUUCAUGUCGGUUUAUUCUUUUUAACAACAAAUGCUGUCUCCACAGGUGAAACCCAGGGCUCAAACCAAGAGAAGACAUUCAGAGCUAUUCAUUCUUUAAAGUCCAUUUAACGAGGUACACCUGGCCAGCAAGAAAAAAACAUCAGUCACUCGUUCCAGUAUUUUUGAACAGUUAAUGAAUAGGAUGGCUUCAAAAAAGCUGCCAUAUUUUAAGCUGUGUAACACGUCUAGAUGUAAAUAUGAGGAAAUGAAAGCUGAAAUUCUGAUCUAUCGUCUCAUAUUCGUCUUUUAUCUCAAACCCAAAUGUCUUCAGUAUACAGCAAAAGCAAGUGAAUUGGCCUUGAUGUUCCAAUACUUUUGAAGAGGACUCUAAUUGUAAGAAUUAAAUAUAAUUUCCGUACUGAACAAAAGACUGAUUAUCUGUUCAGGCACUAUUGUGCAGAUCCACAUUUAAGCAUCUUACUAUACACUGAGUUCAAAGAGCUUUUUCUCAUCCCCAUCCUGGAUCGCCCCUACAGCUGCCUGUUUGGUACAUUCCUCUACAGCAGUGAGCAGGAGAGAAUGGAAAAGGAAGUACAGGGUAAAACGGUCACUGUGGUCCUACGUUAACAGUCAGCCGGAGGACUUCACUAACCCGUUCUAUGUGGACUGUAAAAACCAGGUGCUGUAUCCACUGGCCAGUCUCACACAUCUGGAGCUCUGGGUGGGUUAUUAUGUGCGUUGGAACCCACGCAUGAGACCACAGAUGCCGCUCCAUCAGAAUCUGAGAGAGUUAUUGUUUUUGCGUGAAGAACGUGGAGGAGCUCCAGAGAGAGGCCACGUCAUCCUGCUCCAUCUCCUCAUCCUCAGAGCAUACUUCUCCCUCCUCACAUAGUGAAAAAGUUUUGCAGUUCCUAUCCAAAAGACACCAAGAGCCCAGAUGUCCUUAGAAACUAAAUGUAACCUCCAACUCGUGGCCUUUUCAGAAACUCGAUUCCCAGACGUCGCCACACUGAUCACAGUGCAUCCUUCAAAUCCACCGUGCAGCGGAAAUGGACCAGUCGAUUUAAACGGAUUGUUGAAAAUGUACGUUGUUCAAGGCAUUUGUGGAUUUGAAAUUUCGCUGCAAACCGAGUCUGAACAGUCGCCAGAAUCUGAGGCAAAAACACACGAAGGAACGAGAUCACGUCGUCAUUGCCUCGUCUCUGGUGUUCUACAUUUUUGACAAAAGUAACACCAGAGAUGCUGCGUUAAAGUGGUCAAGAAAAUUACACCAGAGUAAAAAAAUCCCAUUGGGUGAGAUUAUAAACAUCGACUGAAACUCUCGAUAGGACGUGACACUGUUGGAGAGUUGCAUACGAGCGGACAUUCAACAAUAUUUAGUAGAAGCCUUGUGGAUGUUUUCGUCUGUGUUCGUCUGUAAUAUACUGGACUGUCCUACCAAGAGUUCGACCACAACACAUUCAACUGAAGCUCAUACAGUCAGCAUACUGAACUCUCCUUUUUGCCAUAGUGCGGCCGCUUAACAGGAUAAGGCCUCAGAAGUCAAGCACCAGCAGCUUGUGGCUAAAAAACUGCAGCAGAAUUGAGCUCGGUUAGGAGGUGACGGGUGACGGAAAAAAGCCGGGGAACCUCGGAAAGGAAAACAGGGCUGUGUUCCAAAUCUUUUAUCGCCUCCUCUUCAAACUCCAAAAACCUCUGGGCCCUACAGCUAAAUCCAAAGCUGAGGAAAACAACCGUUCAACUAUGAAGGCCUUCUCAAACAC